AGCACUUGUGUUUGUUUUUGUAAUUUGUGGACAAAAACUACAUACGGGUGCUAAAAAUAAAGCCUCUUUUGCAACCCAGAACUCAUUGCUCAGUAUGAGUUUUGAUACAUAUAAGAAGGAACAUG
ensembl:snoRNA small nucleolar RNA SNORA40